AGUAGUUGACUCGUGCACGAGGACACGCUGGCGGCGUGCUUAACACAUGCAAGUCGAACGAUGAAGCCCCUUCGGGGGUGGAUUAGUGGCGAACGGGUGAGUAACACGUGGGCAAUCUGCCCUGCACUCUGGGACAAGCCCUGGAAACGGGGUCUAAUACCGGAUACGACACAGGGAGGCAUCUCCUCUGUGUGGAAAGCUCCGGCGGUGCAGGAUGAGCCCGCGGCCUAUCAGCUUGUUGGUGAGGUAACGGCUCACCAAGGCGACGACGGGUAGCCGGCCUGAGAGGGCGACCGGCCACACUGGGACUGAGACACGGCCCAGACUCCUACGGGAGGCAGCAGUGGGGAAUAUUGCACAAUGGGCGCAAGCCUGAUGCAGCGACGCCGCGUGAGGGAUGACGGCCUUCGGGUUGUAAAACCUCUUUCAGCAGGGAAGAAGCGCAAGUGACGGUACCUGCAGAAGAAGCGCCGGCUAACUACGUG
rnacentral:rRNA from 1 species